CCUACGGGAGGCUGCAGUAGGGAAUUUUGCGCAAUGGGCGAAAGCCUGACGCAGCAACGCCGCGUGAUUGAUUAAGCCCUUCGGGGUGUAAAGAUCUGUCAGUGGGGACGAAACUUGACGGUACCCACAGAGGAAGCACCGGCUAACUCCGUGCCAGCAGCCGCGGUAAUACGGAGGGUGCAAGCGUUGUCCGGAAUUAUUGGGCGUAAAGAGUUCGUAGGUGGAAUAUUAAGUCUGGUGUUAAAUGCAGAAGCUCAACUUCUGUUCGGCACUGGAUACUGGUAAUCUUGAGUGCGGUAGAGGUGAGGGGAAUUCCUGGUGUAGCGGUGAAAUGCUUAGAUAUCAGGAGGAACAUCGGUGGCGUAGGCGCUUUACUGGGCCGUAAUUGACACUGAGGAACGAAAGCCGGGGUAGCAAAUGGGAUUAGAUACCCGGGUAGUC
rnacentral:rRNA from 1 species